GGAAUAAGAGCAACAACAGACUGUCGACUGAAAAUGAGGAUAAAUGAAGGUUUUGGUUUUCAAAGUGCCAUGGAAGCAGGGUGCUGGCUUUCAGUCAGCUACCCUUUCAGACCACCAGAGGCAAGUAAAAGAAGGAAGCAAAUACAGGAACUCAGAGUUAACUAUAAGAUCUGCUUGAUGCUUCAUGCAGGGGAAGCUUAAGUCCCAAGACUGAGAUCUCGAGAGUCCCAUCUGGAUCACCCUGAAUAUGGACAUAGGACUAUAGCCUUGGACUAAUUCUUUGCAGCUACAAAGCUCACCAUCUCUAUUAAGAAUCUGAUCUCAGAACUGUACUCAUGUCUGUAUGCAUACUGAUCUUUUACCCA